rnacentral:siRNA from 1 species
AGAGUUUGAUGGCAACUCUGCU